rnacentral:lncRNA from 1 species
GAAUUUAGUCAUACUUGAUCCCUUAGAAAUAUUGGUAACUUAUUGAGCCUGCCAAGCUCACUCUUUUUUUCUGUUCAGAUCUAAAAAAUGUAAGGUGAUUAGGAUUGGGCAAUGAAGAGCUUAGGAUCUUAACGAGCUAUUUUUAUUUGAAUCAAUAAAAUUGAAAGUUUGUUUUCAAUACCACUGCCUAUGUAUGGAUUAAUUUGAUAGAUUGAAUGUAAAGACAAGCCCUGCAUAUCUUGAGGGAUUAAACUCGAGGGAUGUGCAGACAUAUGUCACGAUUGGCUUGGGCCUUGGGCUGGGGCAUGACAAAAGAUAUUACGUGAAUGAAACAAAAAGCAGUAUAUCACAUUAGAACUCUGUAGUUGAGUAUGCUUGGAUUAGACUAGAAAUAAAAUGGAUGAUUUUUAAACAUCCAAGAGCCAAUAUUUCAUAACCUUGCUCCCUGUAGACAUUACAUCAUCUCUUUGCAUUAUAACUUCUCCUAUGUGUAACCAUGAUAAUUUGCGUCCCAUGGUUUUUCUUCUAUGAUCAAGAAAGAAGACCACAUAACUAAAAGAGAUUUGCGCUAAAGGUUAUCUUCAUUUCGUGGCCUUUACGCGAACUGCACUCAUG